rnacentral:rRNA from 1 species
GACGAACGCUGGCGGCGCGCUUAACACAUGCAAGUCGAACGGAAAGGCCUGCUUUCCCUUGUGGAUUGCGGGUACUCGAGUGGCGAACGGGUGAGUAACACGUGAGUAAUCUGCCCCCAACUUGGGUAUAAGCCUGGGAAACUGGGUCUAAUUCCCGAUAGGACUGCAGGGUGGUGCCUGUGGUGGAAAACGAUUUUCUAGUGGUUGGGGAUGAGCUCGCGGCCUAUCAGCUUGUUGGUGGGGUAAUGGCCUACCAAGGCGGCGACGGGUAGCCGGCCUGAGAGGGUGGACGGCCACAUUGGGACUGAGAUACGGCCCAGACUCCUACGGGAGGCAGCAGUGGGGAAUAUUACACAAUGGGCGGAAGCCUGAUGCAGCGACGCCGCGUGGGGGAUGACGGCCUUCGGGUUGUAAACUCCUUUCGACCGCGAGGAAGCCACCUGGUUGGAAGGGUGGUGACGGUAGUGGUAGAAGAAGCACCGGCUAACUACGUG